rnacentral:lncRNA from 1 species
GCUGUCCAGCCACAGGCAGACGGACCCUUGCUUUGGCCCUGGCCGGCCAGCUGGACUCGGUGUCAGCCCUCCGAGGGUCAGCAAAAGCAGUCUGUCAGAGACUCGUCACCUGGAUGUCCUCAAGGAAAAAAGAGAAUGAAAAGCCAGAAUUUGAAGGGAAAUUUUAGGCUUUCAUGAAAAUAAUAACAAUCCACAAUGACAAAGAGUCGUGAGUUCUGUAAAGUGAUUUCUGCAUCAGAACCCAGGAAGGUGACUAUUACGGGCCCAGUCUUACAAAUGAGGAAAUUAGGAUAUCGUGGCACAAUGAAUCAAGCCCUCGUCUUGGAGUAAGGAUUCAAGUCUCAGCUCAAAACUCUGUGACUGUGGCCAGGUCACAACUUCUAAGAACUUUAGUCUCCUCCUCAGUGAAACGAGAGGCUUGGUCUCCACGGUCUCCAUGGUCACUCCAGACCCAGGAGUCUAGGAAGGCUGAGAAUUUCAAUGACAGGCCCAGGCAACACAACUGGUGAAUGCUUGGACCAAGAUGUGAAUCUGGGUCUCCUGAAUUUCAAGGGAAGCCCUUUACUCGAGUUGACUAAAGAUUACGGAAAUGAACCAAUGAUGACCAAAGUCAGUCGUUGAAAACUUAAAACAACUCACACACC